AUGGUAGAAAUCUGGAAAUGAAUCCGACAAAGCUUCUCAGAUUCAUGUUUUUCUAAUGAUAUAAUUUGGUUGAUCUAAAACACUUUGACUUCGAACCUGUCUGCUCUGUUUUCUCUUUUAGACCAGAAAAAUAUCACAGCUGAGUCUGGACAGAACGUCACUCUGACAUGUCGAGCUUCCAACAACAACAUCAUAGUUGUAGAGUGGAGCAGAGCUGACCUGGAGUCAGAAUAUUUGCUUUUGUAUCGAGAUGAGCAGUCUGUUCCAGACAACCAGCAUCCAUAUUUUAAGAACCGGGUGGAUCUGCAGGACAGACAGAUGAAGGAUGGAGACGUGUCUUUGAUUCUGAAGAAUGUGACGAUUAAUGACACUGGAACAUAUGAGUGUCGUGUUCAGACACAGAG
rnacentral:lncRNA from 1 species